rnacentral:rRNA from 1 species
CACGUAGGGCGCAAGGCGUUGUCCGGAAUUAUUGGGCGUAAAGAGCUCGUAGGCGGUCUGUUGCGUCCGCUGUGAAAACUCGGGGCUUAACCCCGAGCCUGCAGUGGAUACGGGCAGACUAGAGGUAGGUAGGGGAGAAUGGAAUUCCCGGUGUAGCGGUGAAAUGCGCAGAUAUCGGGAGGAACACCGGUGGCGAAGGCGGGUCUCUGGACAG